GUGGCCUAAGUGGUCAGAGCAUCCACCUCUCAUGUGGAAGGUCACGGGUUCAAAUCCCGACAAAGUCA